CAAUGUAGGUUUUGAUUAAAAAUAUGCAGUUUACUAACUAUAUUAUUUGAUGAGCAAAAAAUUUUGAAUUUUAAGUAAUGUUACUAUUUGAACAUUUAUUCUGGUCAUACUUGAGUUCUUCUCUUACAUUGCUGAUUAUAACUUGUGUUACUUCACAAGCUGUAGUCAAAUGAAGGAGCAUGGACAGCUUUGGCUGAAAUUCCUGACCAACUGUCAACAGUAUUGUAUUUCUUUCUUUAUAAUGAUAAUUGGUAAAAUGUCUAUAUCAAUGAUUCUUAGGCACAUUUGUAACAAGAGGUUGUAGUUUCAGCUAAUAUUUGUCAUUCUGAUAUGGUGAAUUACACAAUGUUCACUUGUCUUUUUUUUUCUAACACUAUUUUUCCAACACUUUUUUUAACAUUGUACCUCAGUGCCCCACAGCAAUCUGCCUUUUCAUAUUUUAAACGUGUGACUUUUUGUACUUGUCUUCUAUAUUUGAUGUCUUAUUUCAAAUGUUUGCAAAACAGCUACUGGGAUCCCUCAUGUGAAAGCUGAACAUAUACUAUGCUAUAAUGCUUUACUAUUUAUAUAUUCAUUCAUUUUUGUGAUUGCACUUGUAGUUUGAUUGUCUCCCAUGUACUUGUGUGAUGUUGAGACCCAAACUACCUAUAAAAACUGUGACCCCACUACGAGGCACAUUUUGUAGAACAGUUUCACAACAUUCCAGUGAAAAGAUUCAAAUGCGAAAUUCAUAUCCUAUAUGGCCUGUUGUAUUAGUUAUAUUUUCUAUAUGAAUAAAUUGCAUUAUUUUUAUAUGAUUUACUGCAAGGUUUUACAAUAAAACAUCAGUAUUUAAUUCGCUCACAUCUUU